GUUCCGUAGGAGAACCUGCGGAAGGAUCAUUAUUGUAUAGCCGAGGUGCGAGGGCUGUCGCUGACCCGAAAGGUCGUGCACGCCCGAGUGCCCUCACACACAUCCAUCUCACCCCUAUGUGCACCACCGCGUGGGUCCCCCUUUGGCUUGUUCGGAGGGGGGCUUACGUUUUCACACAAACUUUGUAUGCAGUGUAGAAUGUAUUUUUUGUUUUUGCGAUCACGCAAUCAAUACAACUUUCAACAACGGAUCUCUUGGCUCCC
rnacentral:misc_RNA from 1 species